GACGAACGCUGGCGGCGUGCCUAACACAUGCAAGUCGAACGGAGUUUACUUCGGUAAACUUAGUGGCGGACGGGUGAGUAACGCGUGAGCAAUCUACCUUUCAGAGGGGGAUAACGUUCUGAAAAGAACGCUAAUACCGCAUGAUAUAUUUUAGUCACAUGACUUUAAUAUCAAAGGAGCAAUCCGCUGAAAGAUGAGCUCGCGUCCGAUUAGAUAGUUGGUGAGGUAACGGCCCACCAAGUCGACGAUCGGUAGCCGGACUGAGAGGUUGAACGGCCACAUUGGGACUGAGACACGGCCCAGACUCCUACGGGAGGCAGCAGUGGGGAAUAUUGCACAAUGGGCGCAAGCCUGAUGCAGCGAUGCCGCGUGAGGGAAGAAGGUUUUCGGAUUGUAAACCUCUGUCUUCAGGGACGAUAAUGACGGUACCUGAGGAGGAAGCUCCGGCUAACUACGUG
rnacentral:rRNA from 1 species